CUGAUAAUAAGUCACUUGUUCUUUUAUUUUUCAUGAUAUCACCUUAGACUCAGAUGCCCGCAUAUCAUACUGAAAAUCUUAAUAUUCAUUGAUCCUGGGUUGUUGAAUCAUAAAUGGCCUUCAAUGCUUAAACUAUUUUACUGCUGCUUAUUUUUCUUUUUUAGGUUUGAUUUGGAUUAUUUCUUUCUCAAACUUUACGAAUCUCAUAAUUGACAUGAUCAAACUUCUCUUUGAAGAUCCACUUUCUCUCUGUAGCCCAUCAAACUUCUUUUUGAAGAUCCACUUUGGAUGUGUAGCCCAUGUAUGUUGCAGGUUAUAUCGUCUCCUGUAUGCUGAGGGAUUGUUCACACUAAGGAGAUACAGGUCUAUCGUGUGGCUGUAAUAAUAGCUUAUCUACUGUUGUUAUUACAUAUCUGCGGUCUUAUGACGUGCUUAUCAGUUGCAACUCAUGUCCCAUAUUAGCAUCGGUAAAUCAAAUUUAUCUCUUUAUUCUCUAGGUACAAUUCUAUUGGUAAAUGUUGAUUCCAUCUUACAAAUGUGGAAAUUGCAAUUCUCUUGGACCAAAAUAUGAAUACAUUUGUUGACCAUUAUGCUUUUGUAAUUUUUCUUAUGUCAAAGAGACACCUACCGUCUAUUAUCUGUGUAACUUUCUCUAAAAACUUUCUUGAAUAUCACGUUUUCUUGGCAUAAUCUUGUGACUGUUUUGUCUUUUGAACUUGUUUCUUUAGUCAGGUUGUGAUGGUAGAUUUAUUGGAGUUUAUCUCACAAUGAAUGAUGUUAGUAUUUCAAGUACUGAUCACUAUGGAUCCUGUGUCCAAUUGUCUCCUUUAAGAAAAAUAAAUUAUAUUUUCUUGUUGUAGUAACUUUACUGUUCUUAGUAAUUCACUUGGGGAAAAAACUAUAUUUAUUUCUUUUUAUGAUUUUCACAUGGUUAAUACUAUCUGACGCCAGCAUGUGAUGGUGUAUUUGUAUAGAACUGAAACUAGAUUGGAUGCACCACGGCCUUGAAUAUCAUAUCAGGUAAGAGAAAUUUAAGGUUACGUGGGAAGCUUAAGAUGGAUUUCUUAAUGAAAUUGAGUAAAAAACAAGUCCUUUCCUGUCAAUAGCGAGGUGCUGAAUUCAAGGUUGUCCUGUGUUUUGGCGAAAGAGCAGAGGUUGAUAUCAUGGUCUGUAUAAGAAUGUUUACUCUGUAAUAGAUGGAAAUACUGAAAGCCCCUUGUAAUUAAUUAAAAGGCUUUUUGUUAAAGUUGUCUAUGACUCUGAUGCAAGAUGCUGUUAAAAGAAAGGCAUUUGCAAAUUAGGCUAUUUCUGUUAAUUGAUGUCUGCUCACGGACUGGGUUGAACAGAAUUGAGCAUCGAGGGUUAUGGCACUUGUUGCACUGAGCGAGAAUUCUGCAAAAAAGGCUCUGAAAAGAGGUAUGAUUUCUGGUUUCCUGUUGCUCUAAUUGUGGGAAAUAUGACAAAACUAUAUAGCAAGAGAAAGGGUGGGCAAAGAAAUGACGUAUCAUAAUGUAAACUAUUUUGUACUUACAUUUUAUGCUAGUGUUGUGUUAGAACUAAUUUACAGAACACAUAUUUUGUCAUCUCGAAGUUAUAUACGUGCGUACUAUGUAACAUGUUACCCAGUUUGACUUAAUAAAAGUGUUCCUUUUUAUCAUGUCUGCUUUCGUUGUUAGUCCAGUGAUGUAAUCUUGUGAAUGCUCGAUUUCCUUCAAUAGUUGUAUUGGGAGGAGGAGAGGGAGGGAGGGAGGGAGUGAACAAAUGAAAUAAGCGCGAUGCUUGUGGAGAUUUUGCCCCAACACAAACCUCUGAGUUACCUGGUAAUACACAUGUUUGCUUAUGAAAGUUUGGUUCACAUUCUUGAGUUAUUGAUCAUUACACCACGGAGAAACCUAAUAUUCAGUUCCUUGCCAAAGACGUGUUGACCAGUAUGCAGAAGGAUCCUCAUCUAUUGUCUGAACAAAGAAACUCUUCUGCAGCAGAAGCUUGAAGUACGGCAGUUUCACUGCACAUUCUUAAGUGAUCAAGCAGCCUCCUGCUACAGAGUUGCAGAUCCCAAAACACAAAGAAAACAAAAGGUACAUAGAUUCAUUACAAGCAGUUGUUUUCUGAAAAUAACGUUGCCGUUAAAGCUAUCAUGGGACUGAGGUAAUGGGCUCACUCAGAAGUUCUUUUCUCUGUAGUAAAACUCCUUUCAGGAUCAUGACUAAGCAUGGUGAUGAUGCAUAUUUACAAAUAACUUCAUUGUGAUGAAGUAGUCUUUACAAGCUGAAAGUGAAUGUGCAGCAGAUAACACAUUUCAUAACAUACUGCUUGUGUAUUGCACCAUAUCACGUAGAUGAUGCUCAUAAACUACGGUGUGACGGGGUAUAAUUAUUGCAGCAGCUAUAAAUAGAAAGUGGCUUUUUUUCUUAUUGAGUUUGAUUGGUUGAGAAGGAUGAAGCCGGUUCACCGUGGCCGGAACAUGCAAAAUUCCUCCAGAGCCACCGGUGCUUGCGCUGUUUGUGAUGGGACAUUACUUCUGUUUCCGUCCUCCUCAACAUUUCCCACAUGAUCUGGACAUCCUCGUAUCCACAUGUUUGGAUGUCGUCAUGGAGUUUCAGAAGCCCGGCACCUGAAGAAACACAA